GGGGUAAGUCGGACGGUCGCUGGCGAGUUGCACUCAGGUGCAACCACGAGAGGAAAGUCCGAACACCACAGGGCAGUGGGCUGGGUAACACCCAGGCAGGUCGGACCUUUGGGGACGGCCUGACGACAAGUGCAACAGAGAAUAGACCAGCCAGCCCCAAAGGGCAGGUGAUGGGUGAAACGGUGGGGUAAGAGCCCACCAGCGGGCGUGGUGACACGCCCGGCUAGGCAAACUCCCCACGGUGCAAGACCAAAUAGGGAGACGGCAGGAGGGCGGCCCGUCCCAGCCUCGCCGGCGGCGGAAUCACCGCCAAGCCGGCGAGCCCGUCUCCGGGUAGGUUGCUCGAGCCGUUGAGUAAUCAACGGCCUAGAUGAAUGACCGUCCUCCAGCCCGAUCUCGGGCGGAGACAGAAUUCGGCUUACAGACUUACUCCAAGC
rnacentral:RNase_P_RNA from 1 species